AAUUUAGGGCUUAAUUAAUUUUUUUUCUUUGUUAUUUUCCCCUCCUUUAGAUGUUGCCACCAAUUUCUACUUAAAAACAGAAUAAAACUGAGUCAUUCUACACUAUUACUCAUUCACAUCUUCAACCUUGCAGCCUCCUCGCAACCUACCAACACCUUCGUCACCAUCAGGCACCUCGAAACCAUAAUUUCUUUAUAUUUUUUCGAUUUAAAGGUUCAUUGAAGUGGGUUGGCUAAAGUGUUCUACUUCAAUAAAUUUUCAAUAAUCAAAGAUGCAAAACAACAAAGUUAAUGAGCUUGGUUGUGUUUUUAUGCUUUCCAAAGACCAAAAGAAGCACAUAUGUAGUCGUGAAAGUUUCGCCAAUAUUGCUGCCAAUACUUUUGUCGCAUCAACCAAUACAAAGUGCAUUGUCGAGCAUGUUAGUUAUUGUCAUAAGAUUUUAAACAUUUUACAUUAUUUUAUUUCAAAUUCUAGGUUUAGUUUUACAUAAAAUAACAAUGUUGUGCAUCGGAUGCAUUAUGAUGUUGUGAUAAGAUUUCAUAUGGUAGGUUAUGUGAGAAAAACACAAAGAUGGAUAGGUACUUGCACUUCUUAAUCAUGGGAUCCCUUUCCAAAGAUAAAUGAAAUCCCUGUAUAGCAGUAACUUAGCAUAGAUAUUCUCACAUGG